rnacentral:sRNA from 1 species
CCCAGGCUGAAGUGCAGUGGUGCAGUCAUAGCUCACUGAAGCCUUAACCUCCUGGGCUCAAGUGAUCCUCCCACCUCAGCCUCCCGAGUAGCUGGGACUACAGGUGUGCGCCGCUACCAUGCCUGGCUACACUUUUUUUUUUUUUUUUAGAGAUGGGGUCUUGCUAUGUUGCCCAGGCUGGUUCUUGAAUGUCUGAGGUCAAGCAAUCCUCCUACCUCAGUCUCCCAAAGUUCUGGGAUGACAGAUGUGAGCCACUGUGCCUGGCCUCCACCCCAGUCUUAUUUCAGGACAUACAGAGAUGGAUGUUGUGGACCCGCCUCCAGAGCAUCAGGCUUGGCCCUGGGGUCACAGCACUGAUGGUUCUGUGUCCCCACCUUCUUCCCCACUAGGACAUCACACCCCUGCAGGUGGUUCUGCCCAACACUGCCCUCCAUCUAAAGGCGCUGCUUGAUUUUGAGGAUAAAGAUGGAGACAAGGUGGUGGCAGGAGAUGAGUGGCUUUUCGAGGGACCUGGUGAGUUCUGUCUCCAUAGGGCUCCCUGCCUUCCUGUCAUAGCCCUGAUACCUUCUGACCAUCACCUUCCCUCCCCAGGCACGUACAUCCCCCGGAAGGAAGUGGAGGUCGUGGAGAUCAUUCAGGCCACCAUCAUCAGGCAGAACCAGGCUCUGCGGCUCAGGGCCCGCAAGGAGUGCUGGGACCGGGACGGCAAGGAGAGGGUGACAGGUGGGGUUACCAAGGGGCGAUGAUGGUGGGUGGGCAGGAGGGGUCCCCACUGCAGGGGAAGCAGGGGAAGGUUGAGGAAAGCCUCCUGUAGCCCCAGAGAGGUGCUUUCCUGGUAUCUUUUGAAAGCUGUUGAGGGCCACCCACUGCUCUUCCUUCCCCACGCCCGCUUCAUGCUGUUUCCACUUGGGCUGGAAAAUGUGACCAUGACCAUGCGGAUGUGGCUUUUCCUUCCCCCACCUUCACCAUGAGCGGUGGGCAGUGGCCAUGACUUACCUGAUUCUGGAUCAACAAAGAAGAUGUUCAAAUACAAUUGACAAAUGUAGGCCAAUAGGUACAGUGGCUCACACCUGUCAUCCCAGCACUUUGCCAAGGUGGGUGAAUCGUCUGAGCCCAGGAGCUUAAGACCAGCCUGAGCAACACAGUGAGACCCCAUCUCUACAGAGAAUUUAAAAAUAAGCCUGGCCUUGGACACACACCUGUGGUCCCAGCUACUCAGAAGGCUGAAGGGGGAGAAUUUCUUGAGCCCAGGGAGGUGGAGGCUGCAGUGAGCUGUGAUUGCACCACUGCACUCCAUCCUGGGCAACAGAGGUACUACCCCGAGGUGCUACCAUUCCCACUUUUUUUUUUUUUUUGAGACGGAGUCUUGCUCUCUUGCUGUUGCCCAGGUUGGAGUGCAGUGGCGCGAUCUCGGCUCACUGCAAGCUCCGCCUCCUGGGUUCACACCAUUCUUCUGCCUCAGCCUCCUGAGUAGCUGGGACUACAGGCGCCCACCACCACGCCCAGCUAAUUUUUUUUUUUUUUUUGUAUUUUUUUUUUUUUUUUUUAGUAGAGACAGGGUUUCACUGUGUUAGCCAGGGUGGUCUUGAUCUCCUGACCUCGUGAUCCACCAGGUUCGGCCUCCCAAAGUGCUGGGAUUACAGGCAUGAACCACCGCACCCGGCCAUUCCCACUUUCUAUAUAUCAAAACUGGGAUGCAGAAUGCAGGUUGCUUGCCCUGGGGUGUGGCCAGGCAGGGCGAGGCUGGGACCUGCAUCCAGGCACUCUGGCUUCUCCAAUAAACCAAAGGACAUCCACAACUCUAACAGAGGCAGUUCUGCUGCCUGUUUUAGCAGAAGGACAAAAGUUGGUCUUUGGAGCUUAGAGAAGGCAGAACAGGCUGUUGGCAUAGCAGCAACUUGGGCAUCUUAGGAGGCCAAGGUGGGCGGAUCACUUGAGGCCAGGAGUUCCAGACUAGCUUGGGCAACAUGAUGAAACACCAUCUCUACAAAAAAUACAAAUAUUAGCCGGGUGUGGUGGCACGUGCCUGUAAUCCCAGCUACUCGGGAGGCUGAGGCAUGAGAAUCACUUGAAUCCAGGAGGCUGAGGUUGCAGUGAGCUGAGAUCACAGCCUGGGCAACAGAGGGAGACUCCGUCUCAAAAAAAAAAAAAAAAAAAAAAAAAAAAUAGAAAAAG